rnacentral:tRNA from 1 species
UGGAACUUAGCUCAGCCUGGCAGAGCACCUGGCUUAUAUCCAGUUUGUCGUGGGUUCAAAUCCUACAGUUCCAA